UUGCUUAGGCAGCAAAUACACUAAAAUUGGAAUGAUACAGAGAAAAUUAGCAUGGGCCCUGCACAGGGAUGACAUGCAAAUUCACAAAGUGUUCCAUAUUUGU
rnacentral:snRNA from 1 species